rnacentral:rRNA from 1 species
ACGGAAGGCAGCAGUGGGGAAUAUUGCACAAUGGGGGAAACCCUGAUGCAGCGACGCCGCGUGAGUGAAGAAGUAUUUCGGUAUGUAAAGCUCUAUCAGCAGGGAAGAAAAUGACGGUACCUGACUAAGAAGCCCCGGCUAACUACGUGCCAGCAGCCGCGGUAAUACGUAGGGGGCAAGCGUUAUCCGGAUUUACUGGGUGUAAAGGGAGCGUAGACGGUUCUGCAAGUCUGAUGUGAAAGGCAGGGGCUCAACUCCUGGACUGCAUUGGAAACUGUAGAACUAGAGUGCCGGAGAGGUAAGCGGAAUUCCUAGUGUAGCGGUGAAAUGCGUAGAUAUUAGGAGGAACAUCAGUGGCGAAGGCGGCUUACUGGGCUUUAACUGACGCUGAGGCUCGAAAGCGUGGGGAGCAAACAGGAUUAGAUACCCUGGUA